UACGUAGGGGGCUAGCGUUGUCCGGAAUCAUUGGGCGUAAAGGGCGCGUAGGCGGUUCGUACGGUCAGACGUGAAAUUCCUGGGCUCAACCUGGGGGCUGCGUUUGAUACGUGCGGACUUGAGUGCGGAAGAGGGUCGUGGAAUUCCCAGUGUAGAGGUGAAAUUCGUAGAUAUUGGGAAGAACACCGGUGGCGAAGGCGGCGACCUGGUCCGAUACUGACGCUGAGGCGCGAAAGCGUGGGGAGCAAACAGG
rnacentral:rRNA from 1 species